UACAGAGGGGGCGAGCGUUGUUCGGAAUUACUGGGCGUAAAGGGCGCGUAGGCGGCCUUCUAAGUCGAACGUGAAAUCCCCGGGCUCAACCCGGGAACUGCGUCCGAUACUGGGAGGCUUGAAUCCGGGAGAGGGAUGUGGAAUUCCAGGUGUAGCGGUGAAAUGCGUAGAUAUCUGGAGGAACACCGGUGGCGAAGGCGGCAUCCUGGACCGGUAUUGACGCCGAGGCGCGAAAGCCAGGGGAGCAAACGGG
rnacentral:rRNA from 1 species